UGUGUUAUGUUCAAACAUGGAUCUUACCCUAAAUUACAAGUGAGUGAAGCCAUUCUGUUUACAUGCUAGGGUUCUUGAAAACCAUUUUAUCAAAUAAAUAACCCAAUGAGAAAGUCCUUUGGGAGAAGAAGCUGGGAGCAUCUUUAUUUAGAUUGAGUCCAUCAGCCAAUCAAAUCCAUUAUUUUAAAUUAGUCGACCCAUCUAAGCCUUUGCAUCACAUUUUCUCAUUGUCCCAAUUGUUUUAGGUUUCCUUGUAAAUUUCUCUGCACCUAGCAGGAUAGUAACACCGUGACCUGUCACUGCAUACUGGGAUGAUGAUAUCAAUUUCUUGACUCCAGUGUGGCUUUGAAAGCCAUAUUUACAGCCCUGUGGAUCCACAGUACCCUCUCCUACAGUUCAAGACCAAUAAUAAGCAAGAGAGACAGUGCUGUAGUGCUGUAAGGACCACAAUGGACACUACCCUCAUGGCUGCUCUACUCACUGACUAAAAGAAUUACCACAGCAACCUGGAUAAAGGAAGCAGAGCAAAAUCUUGUCAUUGACUUUAAGGCAAAUCUGACACUGUCUAGUAUGUUAAUGUCAUAGACAGUCAUUGAACAGGACUACAAUAGAGUUUUGAAGCCACUCACACGUUUCUCCAGUUUUAAACAGUUGAUCUUUAGAAAACCUUUACCAGUGACUGAUAAUCUGUUUGAUUUUAUUCUCCUCCAAAUCCCAGUCAUCAGCUGAAAGGAAGCAUUAACCUUAUCAGCAGGAAGCACAUUGCCCUACAGCGCUCUCAACAAGGAAAAGUUGAAAGCUGUUGCUAAGUCUAUUUGGAUAGAUAAUUUAAAAUUCUGUUGGUGAAAUAACUCACCUAAUACUGUUUGUGUUUUGUCUAGAAUAAGCUAUGAGUUAUUAAGUUGUAGCACAAAAAUAUUGUAAGGGUCUCCUAUGUGUAUUCUGUCUUAAGCCAAUUAUGAUCAGUUUUCAGUUCAUCUUCUUGUGCCCCAGGAUCACUCAAACUGUCAUCUCUUCACAUGUGGUGUUUUCCUAACACUAUAAUCCAGACGCCAAUUUGUCAGGAGAAAUGCCGGUAUGAAACAAAUAUGGCCAAAGCCUAUAUGGCCUCCCACUAAUGCUGGAGGAAAAGGAACUGAGAAGCCAGCUUCCUGGGUAGCCUCACACUCCAUGCUCUACUUCCUGAGGGGCAUGCUUGAGAGAAAUCAGCAGUUGAUGGUACAAAGCCUGAGAGCUGAGUGCAGUAAAAAAUGACAGCUACAAUAAAAACAAAUGUUAAACACAACAAAAUGAGAAGGUUCACAUACUCAACUGGAUAUUGAUUUAUAAUUUAAUAGUCUUUCUGUGACCUAAAAAUGAAGAUUUUUGUUCUAUAGUACCUUGAAAUGGGCUCAUCGGUCAGGUCAAUUUACUUCCAUCACAUAAAAAGGCCUCUGCCUCUGCCUGUAUUUGCCUGACUCACCUCUGGUUUGUUUUACUGAAGCUGAUUUUAUUUAAAACACAUAAGCACAAAAGCUUGAAGGGUAUCCAUGGAAGAGCCUAUUUUAUUCUCUGUACUGGAAUUUAAAAACUCAUGGCUUAUGUCAGGUACAACAGGUACAGUAUUAGGAGAGUUCUGUUAAGAACAGAACUUUCAGUUAUCUUCAAAAGAAAGCAAGUUCAGCAACAGCCAAAAAGGAUGAGAAAGAAGGGCAGGAAAGAACUGGGGCAAACUAGGGAUUUGGCAGGGGUGGUUUGAUGGUAAUUAGCAAUGAAAAGUUGGGAAUUUAGGGAGGGUCCAAACUGUGACAAGGUAACGUAUUUCCUAGUUCUCUUGUUCUACUUCAGUCCAUAGUCAUUCUAGCUUGUGUGCUCGUUCUCACAGAUAAAUGCUAACUCAUAAAUAUUCCCUAGAAAUUAAUCUACAGAUUGUAAAGUUCUGGUCAGUCCUGACAAAUUUGGAAGAUUAUCUUUGCCUGUGACUUGAAAGACAAUAAAUUUGAGAUAUUCCUAAGGAAAAUCAGGGAAUAAGAAGACAGAAACAAAGAAACAGACAAAGCCACAGAAGAAGAGUUAUCCAAAGUCAUGGAACAGAACAUCCUGGAGUAAGUAGAGUUAUUUCCCAGAUUUGUGUCCACCAGGAACCUGGGCAUGAGACAGGCAGGUCUUUGCUAUGUUAUCACCUCACAAAGAAGUUACUAGAUUAGGGUGCGCUGAAAUCUAACAUGAUUGAUAUCCUCGUGAGAAGAAACAAAGUGAACUCAACACUGAGAGGAGGCAAUCAUAUAAAGUUAGAAGUGCCAGUUGAGGUCAUAGCUGCUAUAAGCCAUGAAAAUCAAGAAUUUCCAGCAGACAACAGAAGCUUGGAAAGGAAGGAGGAUUCUUCUCCAGGGUACUGUUUUGUGGAAUGGCCUUGCCAAUACCUUGAGUUUAGAUCUGUGCCUUCUAGAGUAAAGUAAUAAAUUCCUUUUGUCUUGAGCCA